CACAGAGGAGCUGCUGGGGAGUGACCACAGCCCCGCUCCCUUGCCCAAUGCUGAGAUUGUGGUUGGCUGGAGAUUGAAGAGAAAAACACUUCCAUAUUAAAGAGAGAAGAAUCUCCCUGAACUGAACAAAUGUGUCACUUUUGAAUAAGGAUUCAUGAAAAGGCAGAGAAGGAGAAGAAAAAAAGAAUAAAGAAGGGAGUAUUUUAUGACUUCUUUAAGAUUUUCCAGCGUGGAUCUUUAGCGGACACGAAAGCAAGCUGAAGCCUGUGAAACUU